AGGAGCAGCACACGCAGCCUCGCCGCACAACCUCCACGCACAACCUCCACGCACAGCCUCCCCGCACAGCCUCCCCGCACAGCCUCCCCGCACAGCCUCCCCGCACAACCUCCACGCACAACCUCCACGCACAGCCUCCACGAGAGAGAGAGAGAGAGGGAGGGAGAGCAAGGGAGACCAGGCGCACCUUUGCAAGGAUCAAUCCAGAGGACGUCGUCCAUCUUCCACUUCGUUGCCAGCGCCAGAUCGCUCUUGGAAUCACUCCCUUUUUUAACUCCAUUCUAACGCCAUGGAGCAGAAAAUAAACGAGACUCCCACCAACACAUCGCCUCAGAAGCACAUGAAGAACCGCUCCAAGUCCACGGACGAGCUCCAGCACCCCCGCAGGGCUUUCUCCUCACAGAAGUCCCUGCCAGGGAGACCAGAGCUGGAGCAUGUCAAGGAGGGCCCCGAUGACACGGAGUCCCCCACCUCCUCCACCGAGGAGCUGAAGGAGGAGCAGGAGUGACUUCCCCCCGCC